rnacentral:lncRNA from 1 species
CCACUAGCCUUUUACAUCCUUGUACAGUAGGAUGUUUCCAGUUUAUGGUUUCUCAUCCCCACUAGAACUGUGAACAUUAAUGGUUCAUCAUUAUUCCUUUGUUUCAGUGAUAAAUGCUCUGACUUUUGGAACUCUUCUGCGCUUGUAUUUGCAAUAAGAUUCUCAUUGUUAUUCCUCACUUUCAUGAAGGUCUCAGCAUCCACAUAACCUCUGGAGCAUGGCCUGCUUGCUUGUCCAGCUUCCCAGGACUCUCACCCUGCCAGCUGUCUGCCAGUUAGGCAGACCAAGAAU